rnacentral:rRNA from 1 species
AACGUACGCUGGCGGCACGCUUAACACAUGCAAGUCGAACGAAGUAGCAAUACUUAGUGGCAGACGGGUGAGUAACAUGUGGGUAUCUGCCCUUUGGCCUGGAAUAACACGAGGAAACUUGUGCUAAUACCGGAUAAGUCUUUACGGAGAAAGCUUUAUGCACCAUUGGAUGAGCCCGCACUUGAUUAGUUUGUUGGUGGGGUAAUGGCCUACCAAGACUGUGAUCAAUAGCUGAUUUGAGAGGAUGAUCAGCCACAUUGGGACUGAGACACGGCCCAAACUCCUACGGGAGGCAGCAGUGGGGAAUCUUGCACAAUGGAGGAAACUCUGAUGCAGCGAUGCCGCGUGAGUGAAGAAGGCCCUUGGGUUGUAAAGCUCUUUCGUCGGGGAAGAAAAUGACUGUACCCGAAUAAGAAGGUCCGGCUAACUUCGUGCCAGCAGCCGCGGUAAUACGAAGGGACCUAGCGUAGUUCGGAAUUACUGGGCUUAAAGAGUUCGUAGGUGGUUGAAAAAGUUAGUGGUGAAAUCCCAGAGCUUAACUCUGGAACUGCCAUUAAAACUUUUCAGCUAGAGUAUGAUAGAGGAAAGCAGAAUUUCUAGUGUAGAGGUGAAAUUCGUAGAUAUUAGAAAGAAUACCAAUUGCGAAGGCAGCUUUCUGGAUCAUUACUGACACUGAGGAACGAAAGCAUGGGUAGCGAAGAGGAUUAGAUACCCUCGUAGUCCAUGCCGUAAACGAUGUGUGUUAGACGUUGGAAAUUUAUUUUCAGUGUCGCAGCGAAAGCGAUAAACACACCGCCUGGGGAGUACGACCGCAAGGUUAAAACUCAAAUGAAUUGACGGGGACCCGCACAAGUAGUGGAGCAUGUGGUUUAAUUCGAAGAUACGCGCAGAACCUUACCAACACUUGACAUGUUCGUCGCGACUCUAAGAGAUUAGAGUUUUCGGUUCGGCCGGACGAAACACAGGUGCUGCAUGGCUGUCGUCAGCUCGUGUCGUGAGAUGUUGGGUUAAGUCCCGCAACGAGCGCAACCCUCACUUUUAGUUGCCAUCAUUAAGUUGGGCACUCUGAAAGAACUGCCAGUGAUAAGCUGGAGGAAGGUGGGGAUGACGUCAAGUCCUCAUGGCCCUUACGUGUUGGGCUACACACGUGCUACAAUGGUAUCUACAACAGGAAGCAAGACUGCGAAGUCAAGCAAAUCCUUAAAAGAUACCUCAGUUCGGAUUGCACUCUGCAACUCGAGUGCAUGAAGCUGGAAUUACUAGUAAUCGUGGAUCAGCGUGCCACGGUGAAUGCGUUCCCGGGUCU